GCCAGCCCGCUCAGAAACUUAAAGGAAUUGACGGGGGCCGCACAAGCGGUGGAGCAUGUGGUUUAAUUCGAUGAUACGCGAGGAACCUUACCUGGGCUCAAAUGUAUGUUGACGUAUUCUGAAAGGGAUACUUCUUCGGACAAUAUACAAGGUGCUGCAUGGUUGUCGUCAGCUCGUGCCGUGAGGUGUCGGGUUAAGUCCCAUAACGAGCGCAACCCCUAUCAUUAGUUGCCAUCAGGUCAAGCUGGGGACUCUAAUGAAACUGCCUACGCAAGUAGUGAGGAAGGUGGGGAUGACGUCAAAUCAGCACGGCCCUUACGUCCAGGGCUACACACGUGCUACAAUGGCCGGUACAAAGGGCAGCUACCUGGUGACAGGAUGCUAAUCUCAAAAGCCGGUCCCAGUUCGGAUUGCAGGCUGAAACUCGCCUACAUGAAGUUGGAGUUGCUAGUAAUCGCGAAUCAGAAUGUCGCGGUGAAUGCGUUCCCGGGCCUU
rnacentral:rRNA from 1 species